UGCGGAGGAAAAGAAACCAACUGGGAUUACCUUAGUAACGGCGAGUGAAGCGGUAAAAGCUCAAAUUUGAAAUCUGGUACUUUCAGUGCCCGAGUUGUAAUUUGUAGAAUUUGUCUUUGAUUAGGUCCUUGUCUAUGUUCCUUGGAACAGGACGUCAUAGAGGGUGAGAAUCCCGUUUGGCGAGGAUACCUUUUCUCUGUAAGACUUUUUCGAAGAGUCGAGUUGUUUGGGAAUGCAGCUCAAAGUGGGUGGUAAAUUCCAUCUAAAGCUAAAUAUUGGCGAGAGACCGAUAGCGAACAAGUACAGUGAUGGAAAGAUGAAAAGAACUUUGAAAAGAGAGUGAAAAAGUACGUGAAAUUGUUGAAAGGGAAGGGCAUUUGAUCAGACAUGGUGUUUUUUGCAUGCACUCGCCUCUCGUGGGCUUGGGCCUCUCAAAAAUUUCACUGGGCCAACAUCAAUUCUGGCAGCAGGAUAAAUCAUUAAGAAUGUAGCUACUUCGGUAGUGUUAUAGCUUUUUGGAAUACUGUUAGCCGGGAUUGAGGACUGCGCUUCGGCAAGGAUGUUGGCAUAAUGGUUAAAUGCCGCUCAUCUUG
rnacentral:rRNA from 1 species